UAGGUUUAUCCAACUCGUUGAAUAGUUUAAUGGUAUAUUUCUCGGUAUUCUAGGCUCGGCCUUACAAUAUAACAAACAAGUUUGACCUCAAAUCAGGUAGGACUACCCGCUGAACUUAAGCAUAUCAAUAAGCGGAGGAAAAGAAACCAACAGGGAUUGCCUUAGUAACGGCGAGUGAAGCGGCAAAAGCUCAAAUUUGAAAUCUGGCGCCUUCGGUGUCCGAGUUGUAAUUUGAAGAAGGUAACUUUGGAGUUGGCUCUUGUCUAUGUUCCUUGGAACAGGACGUCACAGAGGGUGAGAAUCCCGUGCGAUGAGAUGCCCAAUUCUAUGUAAAGUGCUUUCGAAGAGUCGAGUUGUUUGGGAAUGCAGCUCUAAGUGGGUGGUAAAUUCCAUCUAAAGCUAAAUAUUGGCGAGAGACCGAUAGCGAACAAGUACAGUGAUGGAAAGAUGAAAAGAACUUUGAAAAGAGAGUGAAAAAGUACGUGAAAUUGUUGAAAGGGAAGGGCUUGAGAUCAGACUUGGUAUUUUGCGAUCCUUUCCUUCUUGGUUGGGUUCUCCGCAGCUUACUGGGCCAGCAUCGGUUUGGAUGGUAGGAUAAUGAUUAAGGAAUGUGGCUCUACUUCGGUGGAGUGUUAUAGCCUUGGUUGAUACUGCCUGUCUAGACCGAGGACUGCGUCUUGACUAGGAUGCUG
rnacentral:rRNA from 1 species